rnacentral:rRNA from 1 species
UACGGGGGGGGCAAGCGUUGUUCGGAAUUACUGGGCGUAAAGGGCUCGUAGGCGGCCAACUAAGUCAGACGUGAAAUCCCUCGGCUUAACCGGGGAACUGCGUCUGAUACUGGAUGGCUUGAGUUUGGGAGAGGGAUGCGGAAUUCCAGGUGUAGCGGUGAAAUGCGUAGAUAUCUGGAGGAACACCGGUGGCGAAGGCGGCAUCCUGGACCAAUACUGACGCUGAAAAGCGAAAGCCAGGGGAGCAAACGGG